AUUGAACGCUGGCGGCAGGCCUAACACAUGCAGGUCGGGCGGUAACACAGGGAGCUUGCUCCUGGGUGACGAGCGGCGGACGGGUGAGUAAUGUCUGGGAAACUGCCUGAUGGAGGGGGAUAACUACUGGAAACGGUAGCUAAUACCGCAUAACGUCGCAAGACCAAAGAGGGGGACCUUCGGGCCUCUUGCCAUCAGAUGUGCCCAGAUGGGAUUAGCUAGUAGGUGGGGUAACGGCUCACCUAGGCGACGAUCCCUAGCUGGUCUGAGAGGAUGACCAGCCACACUGGAACUGAGACACGGUCCAGACUCCUACGGGAGGCAGCAGUGGGGAAUAUUGCACAAUGGGCGCAAGCCUGAUGCAGCCAUGCCGCGUGUAUGAAGAAGGCCUUCGGGUUGUAAAGUACUUUCAGCGGGGAGGAGGGUGUUGUGGUUAAUAACCACAGCAAUUGACGUUACCCGCAGAAGAAGCACCGGCUAACUACGUGCCAGCCGCCGCCGUAAAAC
rnacentral:rRNA from 1 species